rnacentral:rRNA from 1 species
UGCCUAAUACAUAGCAAGUCGAACGGCGUUUUCUAUGGAAGUUUGCUUCCACUGAGAAGAGUAGUGGCGAACGGGUGAGUAACACGUGGGUAACCUGCCCAUAAGAGGGGGAUAACAUCCGGAAACGGGUGCUAAUACCGCAUAGUUUUCUUGAUCGCAUGAUUGAGAAAGGAAAGACGGCCUUUGUGCUGUCGCUUAUGGAUGGACCCGCGGCGUAUUAGUUAGUUGGUGAGGUAACGGCUCACCAAGGCGAUGAUACGUAGCCGACCUGAGAGGGUGAUCGGCCACAUUGGGACUGAGACACGGCCCAAACUCCUACGGGAGGCAGCAGUAGGGAAUCUUCCGCAAUGGACGAAAGGUCUGACGGAGCAACGCCGCGUGAGUGAAGAAAAGGUUUUCGGAUCGUAAAACUCUGUUGUCAGAGAAGAACAAGUUGGAGACGUUAACUCGCGUCAGCCUUGACGGUAUCUGACCAGAAAGCCACGGCUAACUACGUGCCAGCAGCGGC